UCGACCGAUAGUGAACCAGUACCGUGAGGGAAAGGCGAAAAGAACCCCGGGAGGGGAGUGAAAUAGAACGUGAAACCGUCCGCCUACAGUGCAGUGGGAGCCGGGAACCAACCUCUUCGGGGGUUGGGGAACGGUGACCGCGUGCCUUUUGCAGUAUGAGCCGGCGAGUUGUGCUCCGUGGCGAGGUUAAGCCCCUCUGGGGCGGAGCCGUAGCGAAAGCGAGUCCGAAUAGGGCGAUCAGUCACGGGGUGCAGACCCGAAGCCAGGUGAUCUACCCAUGGGCAGGGUGAAGUGCGCUUGACCGCGCACGGAGGCCCGAACCCGUAGGUCGUGCAACGCCUUGGGAUGACCUGUGGGUAGAGGUGAAAAGCCAAUCGCACCUGGUGAUAUCUGGUUCUCCCCGAAAUGGCUCUAGGGUCAGCCUCACGCCAGAGGCGGCCGGGGGUAGAGUACUGGCUGGGGAAGGGGGGCAACCUCCGACCUCAUUCAAACUCCGAAUACCGGUUCGCCGUUCCGUGGGAGUGAGACGGCGGGGGAUAACCUCCGUUGUCGAGGGCGAAACAACGCAGACCACCAGCUAAGGCCCCCAAAUCCAGGCUAAGUGGGCAAGGCGGUGUGAUCGCAUAUACAGCUGGGAGGUUGGCUUAGAAGCAGCCAUUCCUUUAAAGAGUGCGUAAUAGCUCACUGGUCGAGGGCUUCUGCGCC
rnacentral:rRNA from 1 species